rnacentral:rRNA from 1 species
AGGCACCUACGGGGGGCAGCAGUGGGGAAUAUUGCGCAAUGGGCGAAAGCCUGACGCAGCGACGCCGCGUGAGGGAUGAAGGUCUUCGGAUCGUAAACCUCUGUCAGCAGGGAAGAACGGUCACUGUGCUAAUCAGCAGUGAAUUGACGGUACCUGCAAAGGAAGCACCGGCUAACUCCGUGCCAGCAGCCGCGGUAAUACGUAGGGGGCAAGCGUUGUUCGGAAUGACUGGGCGUAAAGGGUGCGUAGGCGGUGUAGCAAGUUAGAAGUGAAAUACCUAGAGCUUAACUCAGGUGCUGCUUCUA